rnacentral:lncRNA from 1 species
AUGAUAAAAAAUGAAGACUUUUCAAGAGGAAUUCAACUUGCAGAAUCAGCUGUUAAAACAAAAACUCUGACUGAUGGUUAUGGUGAAGCAGUGACCGCAACCACAACCAAUAAUGUUUCAAUUUUAGACUCCAAAUCAAACCGUUACAAUAUUGUCAAAAAUGAAAACUUUUUUGAAGGUGUUCAGAAAGCUUCAGAAUGCACAGGAGAAACAUCAACUUUGACUAAUGUCACUGGUCAACGAGAGAGUGCAUUUAAAACUGAUGAAUGUGAAGCAGCUGGUGAAACAGUAUCCCUGACUGAUGACAAAGAUGAACAAGCGGUUUCCACCAAAAAUAAGGAUGUUCAAGACCAAAAUCAGAGUAAAGAGACAUCCGAUUCUGUUUUAGAUUUGGAUCUAAAGAAUCUUCAGAUGGUCAAAAACAAAGACUUUAGAGAAGGUAUUCAAGCUACAGAACCAGCAAAUGAAAAAAUACCUCAGGUUGAUGGCAAUGUUAAAUCAGGGAUUACAUCCAACAUCGAAGAACUUCAGGAGCCGAAGGAGUGUGAAGCACCUCGUAAAACACUAUCUCUGACUGAUGGCAAAAAUGAACAAGUGGGGUCCACCAAAAGUAAAGAUGUUCAAGAGCAAAAUGAGAGUAAAGAGAUAUCCGUUUUGGUUUUAGAUUCAAACCCAAACAAUCUUCAGAUGGUCAAAAACAAUGACUUUAGAGAAAGUAUUCAAACUGCAGAACCGCCAAAUGAAACAAUAGCUCAGACUGAUAGCAAUGGUAAACCAAUGAUUGCAUCCAACAUCAAAGAACUCCAAGAGCCAAAGGAGUGUGAAGGACCAUAUGAAACAGUAUCUCUGACUGAUGGCAAAGAUGAACAAGAGGAAUCCACCAAAAGAAAGCAUGUUCAAGAGCAAAAUUAUAGUAUAAAUGUUUCAGCUUCUAUUUUAGAUUCAGAUCCAAACAAUAUUCAGAUGGUUAAACCAGAAAAUGAAACAAUAUCUCAGACUGAUGGCAAUGGUAAACCAAUGAUCGCACCCAACAUCGAAGAACUCCAAGAGCCGAAGGAAUGUGAAGCACCUUGUGAAACAGUACCUCUGACUGAUGGAAAAGAUGAACAAGUGGGUUCCACCAAAACUAAGGAUGUUCAAGAGCAAAAUGAAAGUAAAGAAAUAUCCAUUUUUGCUUUGCAUUCAGAGCCAAAUAAACUUCAAAUAGUCAGAAGUGAAAACUCUUAUGAAAUCACUCAAUCUACAGAGCCAGUUGAUGAAACAGUAACUCUGACUGAAGGCAAUGGUGGACCAAUGAUUGCUACUUACAUCAAAGAUGUUCAAGAGCCAAAGGAAUGUGAAGCAGCUGGUGAAGUCGUAUCUCUGACUGAUGGCAAAGAUGAACAAGUGGUUUCCAACAAAAGUAAGGAUGCUCAAGAGCAAAAUGAGAGAAAAGAGAUAUCUGUUUUUGUAUUAGAUUCGGAUCCAAACAAUCUUCAGAUGGUCAAAAACAAUGACUUUAGAGAAAGUAUUCAAGCUGCAGAACCAGCAAAUGAAACAAUAGCUCAGAUUGAUGGAACUGAUAAACCAGUGAUCCCACUCAACAUUGAAGAACUCCAAGAGCCGAAGGUGUAUGAAGCACCUUGUGAAACGGUAUCUCUGACUGAUGGAAAAGAUGAACAAGUGGGUUUCACCAAAAGAAAUGAUGUUCAAGAGCAAAAUGAGAGUAAAGAGAUAUCCAUUUUUGUUUUGCAUUCAGAGCCAAAUAAACUUCAGAUAGUCAGAAGUGAAAACUCUUAUGAAGUUACUCAAUCUACAGAGCCAGUUGAUGAAACAGUAACUCUGACUGAAGGCAAUGGUGGACCAAUGAUUGCUACUUACAUCAAAGAUGUUCAAGAGCCGAAGGACUGUGAAGCAGCUGGUGAAGCCGUAUCUCUGACUGAUGGCAAAGAUGAACAACUGGUUUCCACCAAAAGUAAGGAUGUUCAAGAGCAAAAUGAGAGAAAAGAGAUAUCUGUUUUUGUAUUGGAUUCGGAUCCAAACAAUCUUCAGAUGGUCAAAAACAAUGACUUUAGAGAAAGUUUUCAAGCUGCAGAACCAGCAAAUGAAGCAAUAGCUCAGAUUGAUGGAACUGAUAAACCAAUGAUCGCACCCAACAUUGAAGAACUCCAAGAGCCGAAGGAGAAUGAAGCAGCUGGUGAAGCCGUAUCUCUGACUGAUGGCAAAGAUGAACAAGUGGUUUCCACCAAAAGUAAGGAUGUUCAAGAACAAAAUGAGAGAAAAGAGAUAUCUGUUUUAGAUUCUGAUCCAAACAAUCUUCAGAUGGUCAAAAACAAUGACUUUAGAGAAAGUAUUCAAGCUGCAGAACCAGCAAAUGAAACAAUAGCUCAGAUUGAUGGCACUGAUAAACCAGUGAUCGCACUCAACAUUGAAGAACUCCAAGAGCCGAAGGUGUGUGAAGCACCUUGUGAAACGGUAUCUCUGACUGAUGGCAAAGAUGAACAAGUGGUUUCCACCAAAAGUCAGGAUGUUCAAGAACAAAAUGAGAGAAAAGAGAUAUCUGUUUUAGAUUCUGAUUCAAACAAUCUUCAGAUGGUCACAAACAAUGACUUUAGAGAAAGUAUUCAAGCUGCAGAAGCAGCAAAUGAAACAAUAGCUCAGACUGAUGGCAAUGGUAAACCAGUGAUCACAUACAACAUUGCAGAACUCCAAGAGCCAAAAGAGUGUGAAGCAGCUGUUGAGACAGUUUCUAUGACUGGUGGCAAAGAUAAAAAAGUGGUUUCCACUAAAACUAAGAAUGUUCAAGAGCAAAAUGAGAAUAAAAAAGUUUCUGCUUUGGUUUUAGAUUCAGAACCAAACAAUCUUCAGUUGGUCAAAAAAGGCAACUUUUUUGAAUGUAUUCAAACUACAGAAGCAGUGGAUGAAACAGUGUCUAUCAAUGAUGGCAAUGAUGAACCAGUGAGUUCCAACAAAACCAAAGAUAUUCAAGAGCAAAACGGGGACAAAGCAGUGUUAGCUUCAAUUUUAGAUUCAGGUGCUAACAAACUUAAGAUGAUCAAAAAUGAAGGUUUUAGAGAAGAUAUGCAAGUUUCAGAUCAGGCAGAUCAAGUAUCAGCUCUAAAUGAAGGAAAUGGUGAACCCGUGAGUGCUACUACAACCAUGAAUAAUCAAGAGCAAGAAGAGUGUAUGCUUCUAACAACUUUAAUUUUGGAUUCAGAGUCAAAAAGUCGUCAGGUGGUGAAAAACAACGUCUUUUCUGGUGGUAUUCAAAAAAUAGAAUCUGCACCUGAAAGAGUAAUUCCAACUGACGGGAAAGGUGAAUUCAAGAGUGUCUCUGAAUUUAAAAUUGUUCAAGAACCAGGAUUAUUUGAAGAUGAACCAGGUGUUUUACAAGACUGUAUUCAAACAGUAGAAACAGUUGAAGAUGAAACAGAACCUUCCACUGGAAAUCAAUUAUCAAUCGGACCUGCUGAAGAACCAAAAAAAUUCAAGGUUGUAUUAGCUACAAUUUCAGAUUCAGAGCCGAGUCCUUUGCUAAUCCCAAGAGAAGGAACAGAAGAGGAUCUUUCAGUCAUCAAAAACAAAUCUAAAGAGAGACCACACAAUGAACCCAUGAAUAUGAUGACUGAGCUGUUCCAAUUUAUCCAAGAAGUUUCAACUGCAAAAAAAGAAAAUAAAGAUCAACCCAAAGAUGAAAUUUUACCUUGUCCUAAAAGUAAUGAUGAUGAAGAAGAGCCCUCAAAAACUGAGCAUGUUCAAGAGAUUUUAGAAGUUCCACCAGCUAUCAUAUUAGACUUAAAAGCAGAAUGCUCUGAAUUUCCAGAGAAGGAUAUGAUAUUGAAGGAUGUAACUGGAGCAAAAAUUACUUUCUGUGACAGUGCCCCUUUCACAGAAGGUAGUGUUCAAACCCCAAAACACCUCAAGAUCAACAUUGUGCAAGAUCAAGAUAUAUUCAAAGCUGUACCAGUAACCAUAUUAGAUUUGGAGCCAAGUAGUCCUCAGUCAGUCACAAUAAAUCAGGGAUCAGAAGAGACAUUGAAAAGUGAUCUUAAAGAAAAAACACUGUCCUUCAUGGUGGAUGACAUUAAGCCAGUUCAAACUCCCACGGUCAAGGAUAUUGAGGUUGUAGAUGUUGUAGAAAAAGCAACAUUAAAGUCACAGGUGAUAAAGUAUGUUUCCCUCUCUAAACAUGAACUUAAAAUUGAACCAGAACCACAAGACAAUGCUCAGCCAGUAGAAGAAACUACAACAAGGCAUGUUAAGGAGGAGCAUUUGGUACAAGAAGCAGAUGAUUUAGCUGUUGGUUUGGAAGUAGAAAGCUAUGCAUUGCCCAAAAAGAGAGAGGAACCUGCUAAUCUAACAGGCAAAGCGGUCAUAGAAGAACUAAAAGAGAAAAGAGCUCCUAACAGCUCUGAAAUUAAGUCUUUUCAAGAGUUCAGUGAAGCUGCAGAAACCAUCAAGCCCAAUUCAGAGAGUAUAACUCAGUCACUCAAAACAAAGAAUACAUCUCAAAAUAUUCAAGAGGGGCAAAGGUCCAGAGAUGAAAUUGUGCAAGAAGAAACUCAAACAGAAAUACCGAUUGUCUUACCAUCUGAUGAAAGAGAAAACUUAACUAAAGUAGAACCAAAUUCAACACCAACAAAUGCACAAUUAGAGGCAACAAGUGCUCAGGAAACUGGACAAAAGAAAGAUGCUUUAGAAAUUAAUCAAGCCCAGAUAACAGGGAGCUGUUCACCAGAUUUUAAGUCCAAGCAUGAAGAAGAAGUUGAGAGUGCCCACACAAAACAAACAUUACACACAAAUUGUAUGCCUUCUUUUACUGAAGAAUCCAAUAUUUCUCAUGUCCCAGAGAACACUGCAUCUUCAGAAGAAAUCCCAGAGAAAUGCAAAGACAGUGGCAGACGUUCAACAGAGCUUACAGAUGACAGGAUUCUUAGUGAGAUAGAAAUAAAUUCUGACAAAGAAAAGGAGAAUAGGCCUCAAUUUGUUAGAAUUAAAACUGCUACUGAGAUGCCACAGUAUAACACAAAUGAUGUCAUACCAGAUACUUUGAUUGAGAAGCUAUCAGAAAUCCAACUACCACGGAUAGCUGGGAUAACAGGGGAGACUGCCUUCCAAAAGAUGGUGGAGACUGUGACACCCUCAGCUCCUGAACCCAUAACACAGACUGCAGAGGAAGUCAGGGAGAUGGUCAUGAUGCAUGUUCAGUCUGUAGAGUUUGAUGACAUUCAAAAAAUUCAAGUGCAGGACAAGAACCAUGAUACUGAAUCUGCUCGCACAGUUUUUGAGCCAACUUUGGAGGUUGGAUUUAAAGAAAUCAAUGACAUUUGUCAGGAAACCAUUGGUGAAGUAGAAACUUUAUCUGCAACUUCUGAAAUCAAAAAUAAAGUCAUUCAUGGAGAAAACAAUGCAACUUUUGAAGAAGUUGUACUUACAAAGGACCCACCAGAGGAGAUGCAUGAAUCUGAUGUGGAUUCUUUUGAAACACCUAGAAAACAUGUGGACACUGCAACUGAUGUGAGCGACCAGGUCGAAGAUGAAAACAGAGGAGUGGAGGCUGUGGUGGAGGAUAACACAAAGGUGUUUACAGAAAUCCACACUGAAAAACCAGAGGACAUUGUGCAAACGUGUGAAACUCCACAAAGUUCAGACAACUUUAUUCAUGAUGAGGUUUUGGAAGAAACUAAAGCUAAUAAGGCAAAAUAUGAAGUAGAUGCUUCAGCAGAAACAACAACAUGCCCUUCUAAAAAGACUGAUAUACAAAAAUUACAAACAGUUGACAGUAGUGCUUCUCAUUCCAUUGGAUCAGAAGUUGUGUCCCAAAACACUGGAGUAAUCCCUACAGUGUUCAUCGAGCCCAAGCCCAGUUUUCCUGAGUCAUCCAAACCUCCCACUGUCACAGAAACACUAAGACCUCUGAAGCAAGAGGAAGUCUCUGAACCCAGUGUUAACACAUAUGACUCUGAAAGGUUAUUUGAAGACACCCAUACAAAGGAAUGUGAACAAAAAGCAGAACACAUUGAGACCACUGUUGAGAAAACAGACCUUGGAGAACAAGAAAAAAACCUGCAAUCCACUGAAAAAGCAAUGGUCACAAACCAACCACAGGAAGAAAAAGGUGUAGCAAUAAAAACAGAGGAGUUAGAAGAACUCAAAUCCACUGAGACUCCAACACUCGAUGUCCAAGCCUCAGAUUCAAUACAGAGAAUGAGUCAAAGAGAGAUGACAAAAGAAGAGCUGAUUCAGCUGGAACAUUCCUGUGAUGAAAAAACAGUAACAGAUAAUCAUUCAGGAAAAGAGGAAGACAAUGAUCAAGAUGUGUGGCAAGAUGCCAUGGAGGACAUCUUAACUCCAGAAGAAAGUGAUCUGGCUCAUUCUGAGCUUCAGGACAAGAAAGAGGUAGAGUUUGAAAUGUCACUUGUUUAUACAAUUGAAGACGAAGAAAUGCACGAACUGCCCAAAAUUCAAGAAAAAGGUGACACAGAAAGUGAAGGUGAAGAUUUUGAUGUUGCACUCGAACAACUGGAUAUUUCAAGGUGUUACUAA